UAGGGAAUAUUGGUCAAUGGACGGAAGUCUGAACCAGCCAUGCCGCGUGCAGGAAGAAGGUCCUCUGGAUUGUAAACUGCUUUUGUCCGGGAAUAAAUCUAUCUUAAGAGAUAGUUGAAGGUACCGGGAGAAUAAGCACCGGCUAACUCCGUGCCAGCAGCCGCGGUAAUACGGAGGGUGCAAGCGUUGUCCGGAUUUAUUGGGUUUAAAGGGUGCGUAGGCGGCCUGAUAAGUCAGUGGUGAAAGCCGGUAGCUUAACUAUCGAACUGCCAUUGAUACUGCCAGGCUUGAGUACAGUUGAGGUGGUUGGAAUGAGUAGUGUAGCGGUGAAAUGCAUAGAUAUUACUCAGAACACCAAUUGCGAAGGCAGAUCACUAAGCUGAUACUGACGCUGAGGCACGAAAGCGUGGGGAUCAAACAGG
rnacentral:rRNA from 1 species